CGUAAAGUGGAACCAUUCAACUGAAGUCACUCAAAUCAGAAUAUGGAUUCGGCUAGAUUCAUAUUUCAAAUCAUCAAAAGCUAGAACAAACAUUGAUAUUGUUCUAAACAGAGUGAAGUAUGUGUAUCGAAAACAGACAGAGAUUGCCUGCUCAAGCUUACUCUUCAAACUAUAGGUAAGCCAAAAUCUAUUUACUUGAUAUGAACAUUUUCUGAUCCCACUGUUUACUCUUGUGUGGAGCAGCCAAUAUAAGAUGGAUAUGCGAGACUGAUGUGACUCAUUUACUCAAAUGAAUGACUUAUAUUGACAAUAUCAGGCAUGUUGCUUUGUUAAAAACCUAGUAGUUCUCACUGUUUUCAAACCAAUAUCGAAGGCUAAACUUCUCGUUAAAAUUUCAAGUCCAAUAAAAUUCCCUUUUUGCCAUUGAUUUAUAAGUCAAAGAGAGAUUAUUUUUGCUAUCCUAUUUCCAGUAAACUUCAAUUAACCAACAGAAGUAGAAUUCAAUCAUUUAUUUACUAUUUGAUGGUUAUAUUUUGAUGCACUUCAGGUGGAAAUAACAGAGGAAAUGCAGAGUUUUAACUUUCUUUGAAAGUACAAUUAUCUUCAUGUUAUAGUUUGAUCUACUCAAAUUCCUUUUUUUUUUAACUCUUUUAUGUUUUUAUAUUCCUAAAAUUACCUUGGAUUUUCUGCGAGAAUUUAUUUUCUUUUUGGACCUUUUCUUCUUUCAUCAUAUGGGCUUUUAGUUCUUUGCUUUGGUUUUUGCCAGAUUUGCUCAUUAACAUCUUUUCUCUACUUUCAGCCUUGGACUUGGAACAUAAUUUAAUAACAUGUUUUUUUUUUAUGCCUACACAAAAUUCAGGUAGAGGAUCAUCUUAUUCCUUUUAUAAUAUGAUCUUUUCUCUUUCUUUUUAAGUAAAUAUUUUUAAUGCUACUUUAUCAUAUGUUUCUGAGCACUUUCUGC
rnacentral:misc_RNA from 1 species